rnacentral:rRNA from 1 species
AUUGAACGCUGGCGGCAGGCUUAACACAUGCAAGUCGAGCGAGCGGCGGACGGGUGAGUAAUGUCUGGGAAACUGCCUGAUGGAGGGGGAUAACUACUGGAAACGGUAGCUAAUACAGCAUACCAUCAGAUGUGCCCAGAUGGGAUUAGCUAGUCGGUGGGGUAAUGGCUCACCUAGGCGACGAUCCCUAGCUGGUCUGAGAGGAUGACCAGCCACACUGGAACGGAGACACGGUCCAGACGCCUACGGGAGGCAGCAGUGGUGAAUAUUGCACAAGGGGCUCAAGCCUGAUGCAGCCAUGCCGCGUGUGUGAAGAAGGCCUUCGGGUUGGAAAGCACUUUCAGCGAGGAGGCGGUACUCGCAGAAGAAGCACCGGCUAACUCCGUGCCAGCAGCCGCGGUAAUUC